GUAGGAUUAAAGUAUUAUGUAUGCAGGUGCAGCACGUUUCAGGUUAUUAGUAAUCCAAUCUAUUUUUUACGACAUUAUGGUGUAAUUUUCUGUAUAAAACUUCACUAUAAGUCUCGAGCUGCAUCGGAACAUAAACUAAAAUGUUCCUGACUCUGUCACUUUUCAUGGUCUUUACUUUGAUUAAUAAAUGCAAGCAGAGCUAUAACAUCCUGCAGUGAGAGGCCAUGAUCAUCCUUCAAUCAAAGCGUGUCCCCCCGAUUUCUGGAACUCUUUGCAGCGCAAUGCAGGGGAUGAGGAGCAGCUGCAGCACCCCCAGCUUGAACGGGCUGCAUGCCCUGCUCCCUGUGUCCAGACAUCUGGCACCUGCACUUGGGGCUCAAAGGGAAGAAUCCCCCAUGAGUCCAGUCCCUGCUCAGAAGGGGCACCCAGCCAUAGGGUGCUGCCCCUGCACCACAGCCUUAUUUGGAGCCCUCUGAAACCAAAAGCCAUUGGUAUUCAGGGUUUCUUGACCCUAAAUUUUGCAUUAAACCUCCUUGCAUCCCUGUAAGGCAAGUCUCGUAAUGCUGAUCAAUAACUCAGAAAGCAAUUGCUAACUUCUUUAACACGGAAGAUGACGUCGUUCCAGUUCUAGUAGUUGAUAUCCUUUACUCUAAUGGUACAUUAUUUGUUACUCCUACUUGCUAUUUUAAUUUUCUUUGCACAAUUACUCCCUACUUAUAAUUACAAAAACAACAGAGUGAUGCACAUGAGAGAUUCAGGAGGCUUAUUCAGAAAAUAUAAGCAGUAACGAGAAUCCUUUACUCAGUCAUUCUUAACCAGAAUAAUUUAGGGGAGAAUCAACACUUCUAACUAGAAAAAUCAAUUUUCUUUUCAAUUAAAAAAUUAUAUUUCAUUUUCCCCAAAAGCAUAUUUUGUUACCCCCUAAUGGAAAGGACACUAGAUUUGUACUUUUCUUUUUCCUUCAGUUUGUCCCUGUGGCAUUUGAAUACCAGCACUGCCUUUCUUAUUUUAAGUUUCCUCUGCAGGCAUUUUGCUAUAUAUAUAUAUAUAGUGUGUGUGUGUGUGUGUGUGUAUAUAUUAUAAAUAUAUACUGUACCUAUCCACCGAUAGAUGUAUACACUAUUACAAAAAAAGAGCAAGUUGUUACACAAACUUUACAUUUACAUUUUAUAUAUAUAUUUAUAUAUAUAUAAAACUCUCCCCCC
ensembl:lncRNA